rnacentral:rRNA from 1 species
UACCAGCACCCCGAGUGGUCGGGACGAUUAUUGGGCCUAAAGCAUCCGUAGCCGGUUCUGCAAGUCUUCCGUUAAAUCCAGCCGCUCAACGGAUGGGCCGCGGAGGAUACUAUAGGACUAGGAGGCGGGAGAGGCAAGCGGUACUCAGUGGGUAGGGGUAAAAUCCUUUGAUCCAUUGAAGACCACCAGUGGCGAAGGCGGCUUGCCAGAACGCGCUCGACGGUGAGGGAUGAAAGCUGGGGGAGCAAACCG